GACGAACGCUGGCGGCGUGCUUAACACAUGCAAGUCGAACGGAAAGGCCUCUUUCGGGGGGUACUCGAGUGGCGAACGGGUGAGUAACACGUGAGUAACCUGCCCUUGACUUUGGGAUAACUUCAGGAAACUGGGGCUAAUACCGGAUAGGAGCUCCUGCUGCAUGGUGGGGGUUGGAAAGUUUCGGCGGUUGGGGAUGGACUCGCGGCUUAUCAGCUUGUUGGUGGGGUAGUGGCUUACCAAGGCUUUGACGGGUAGCCGGCCUGAGAGGGUGACCGGCCACAUUGGGACUGAGAUACGGCCCAGACUCCUACGGGAGGCAGCAGUGGGGAAUAUUGCACAAUGGGUGGAAGCCUGAUGCAGCAACGCCGUGUGCGGGAUGACGGCCUUCGGGUUGUAAACCGCUUUCGCUCAUGACGACGCUUUGUGUGACGGUAGUGGGUAAAGAAGCACCGGCUAACUACGUG
rnacentral:rRNA from 1 species